rnacentral:rRNA from 1 species
AUUGAACGCUCGCGGGAUGCUUUACACAUGCAAGUCGAACGGCAGCGCGGACUUCGGUCUGGCGGCGAGUGGCGAACGGGUGAGUAAUGUAUCGGAACGUGCCCAGUAGCGGGGGAUAACUACGCGAAAGCGUAGCUAAUACCGCAUACGCCCUACGGGGGAAAGCAGGGGAUCGUAAGACCUUGCACUAUUUGAGCGGCCGAUAUCGGAUUAGCUAGUUGGUGAGGUAACGGCUCACCAAGGCGACGAUCCGUAGCUGGUUUGAGAGGACGACCAGCCACACUGGGACUGAGACACGGCCCAGACUCCUACGGGAGGCAGCAGUGGGGAAUUUUGGACAAUGGGGGCAAGCCUGAUCCAGCCAUCCCGCGUGUGCGAUGAAGGCCUUCGGGUUGUAAAGCACUUUUGGCAGGAAAGAAACGUCGCGGGCUAAUACCCCGUGGAACUGACGGUACCUGCAGAAUAAGCACCGGCUAACUACGUG